UGCCAGCAGCCGCGGUAAGACGGAGGGUGCAAACGUUGUUCGGAAUUACUGGGCAUAAAGAGCGCGUAGGCGGUCCGCUCAGUCAGGUGUGAAAUCCCCCGGCUCAACCGGGGAACUGCAUCUGAUACUGGCGGGCUCGAGGACGGUAGGGGUGAGCGGAACUCCACGUGGAGCGGUGAAAUGCGUAGAUAUCUGGAGGAACACCUGUGGCGAAAGCGGCUCACUGGGCCGUCUCUGACGCUGAGGCGCGAAGGCGUGGGUAGCGAACGGGAUUAGAUA
rnacentral:rRNA from 1 species